rnacentral:rRNA from 1 species
GAUGAACGCUAGCGACAGGCUUAACACAUGCAAGUCGAGGGGCAGCACAAGGUAGCAAUACUGAGGUGGCGACCGGCGCACGGGUGGGUAACGCGUAUGCAACCUGCCUAUCAGCGAGGGAUAGCCCGGCGACAGUCGGAUUAAUACCGCAUAAAACAAGAGCUUCGCAUGGGGCUUUUGUUAACGAUUUAUCGCUGAUAGCUGGGCAUGCGUUCCAUUAGGUAGUUGGUAGGGUAACGGCCUACCAAGCCGAAGAUGGAUAGGGGUUCUGAGAUGAAGGUCCCCCACACUGGUACUGAGACACGGACCAGACUCCUACGGGAGGCAGCAGUGAGGAAUAUUGGUCAAUGGACGCAAGUCUGAACCAGCCAAGUCGCGUGAAGGAUGAAGGAUCUAUGGUUCGUAAACUUCUUUUAUAAGGGAAUAAAGAGAGGGACGUGUCCCUUAUUGCAUGUACCUUAUGAAUAAGCAUCGGCUAACUCCGUGCCAGCAGCCGCUGUAACAC